rnacentral:rRNA from 1 species
CCUACGGGGAGCUGCAGUGGGGAAUAUUGGACAAUGGGCGAAAGCCUGAUCCAGCCAUGCCGCGUGUGUGAAGAAGGCCUUCGGGUUGUAAAGCACUUUCAGUGGGGAAGAAAGCCUUGGGGCUAAUACCCUCGAGGAAGGACAUCACCCACAGAAGAAGCACCGGCUAACUCCGUGCCAGCAGCCGCGGUAAUACGGAGGGUGCGAGCGUUAAUCGGAAUUACUGGGCGUAAAGCGCGCGUAGGCGGUCUGAUAAGCCGGUUGUGAAAGCCCCGGGCUCAACCUGGGAACGGCAUCCGGAACUGUCAGGCUAGAGUGCAGGAGAGGAAGGUAGAAUUCCCGGUGUAGCGGUGAAAUGCGUAGAGAUCGGGAGGAAUACCAGUGGCGAAGGCGGCCUUCUGGACUGACACUGACGCUGAGGUGCGAAAGCGUGGGUAGCAAACAGGAUUAGAUACCCUAGUAGU